AGAAUCAACGCUGGCGGCGUGCCUAACACAUGCAAGUCGAACGCGAAAGUCCCGCAAGGGAUGAGUAGAGUGGCAAACGGGUGAGUAACGCGUGGGUGACCUACCUUCGAGUGGGGGAUAACGUUCCGAAAGGGACGCUAAUACCGCAUGACAUCCUGCUUUUUAAGAGGCGGAGAUCAAAGCCGGGGAUCGCAAGACCUGGCGCUUGGAGAGGGGCCCGCGUCCGAUUAGCUAGGUUGGUGGGUAACGGCCUACCAAGGCAACGAUC
rnacentral:rRNA from 1 species